UUAGGUUUCAAUAAGAGAAUAUGAGAGCGGUGAGCUUUUUUCUUAUAAUGGGCCGGAGAUAUUUCAUGGGAGCUGAGGUCCAGUGUCCAACCCCCAACAGAAAUGUGUAAUAGCAUUUGGAAAAAGAAAUAUCAGGAGUCAGAAGAUGGAUACUUAUUGAGCAAGAAUGAUCCAUAAGCCUAGAGGCCCAAUAGUCUUGGUACGAGUCUAUUCCUUAGAAUCCUCUGAAAAAAUAGGUGCAUGGAAGAAGAUUCCGACAGAUGAACACACAAAAAGAAGACAAAAGAUUGUACAAAAGGAAAGAAACAUUCUGACAACUUCAUAGUCACGAGAUUAUUAACAAGGAGAAAAUAAGAAACUCCGAGACUGGAAACGGAGCAGCAUCAUAGCGGCGAGCACGGACGUACGUCUCGUCGAAUCAGUCUGGUGAAUCGCCGUUGUUAAAUAUUGCAAUGCAAAUUCCAAACUACUUCGUUUUGGUUUUGUUUAAUCUAUGAACGCUUAUCUAUUUUCUCUAGUUUAGUCUAGCUGAAUUUGCUUUUGGAAAGAGAAAAACAAAAACAAAAACUCACUAAACAAUAAAACCUAG
rnacentral:lncRNA from 1 species